AGUGAAUAGAUACCCGGGUAGUCCACGCCGUAAACUAUGGAUGCUGGCUGUUACUCGUAUCGACCCGAGUAGUAGCGAAAGCUAACGCGUUAAGCAUCCCGCCUGUGGAGUACGGCCGCAAGGCUAAAACAUAAAGGAAUUGACGGGGACCCGCACAAGCGGUGGAGCGUGUUCUUUAAUUCGAAGGUAAGCGAAGAACCUUACCAGGGUUUGACAUCCUCGGAAUUUCUCCGAAAGGAGAGAGUGCUUUAUUGAACCGAGUGACAGGUGAUGCAUGGCCGUCGUCAGCUCGUGUCGUGAGAUGUUUGGUUAAGUCCAUCAACGAGCGCAACCCUUAUAUUUAGUUGGAUUUUUCUAAAUAGACUGCCCCGGUAACGGGGAGGAAGGAGGGGAUGAUGUCAGGUCAGUAUUUCCCUUACAUCCUGGGCUAGAAACACGCUACAAUGGCCGGUACAAAGGGCAGCCAAGUCGUGAGACGGAGCAAAUCCCAUCAAAGCCGGUCCCAGUUCGGAUAGCAGGCUGAAAUUCGCCUGCUUGAAGUCGGAAUCGCUAGUAAC
rnacentral:rRNA from 1 species